GCAGCGGUGGUUCAGUGGUUGAAUUCUAGCCUUCGAUGCUGGAGACCCAGGUUCAAACUCUGGCCAGCA
rnacentral:tRNA from 1 species